ACAGGCACGUUAGCAAUUUGUUCAGUCGCUGUUAUUACUCUAUUGAUGUCUGCCACUGAAGAGGGUAUUGCAGCAGGCGUCUCGUUGUUGGGCUGGCCAACAUUUAGAGCCGUUGUUGACUCUGAGAUAGCUCCUGUUUUGAACUUAGGUUUUGGUUUAGCAUGGAUACCCGUGUAAGCCUGCACACAAGUCCAGAAGAUUUCGACUUAAAAACAGAAUGCUCAAUAGAGAUUUUGACAGAAUAUGAGACUCAAAGUAGAUGGACUCACCGAGCAUGCCUAGCGUACUCUUCAUAGUUCUCAAGUAGCAUCUUUCCAGCCUGUUCGUUUAAUGCAGAUUCUGGAAAUGGCUCGAUUAGUAAGCACCUCACAACCUGUUACCAUGUACAAACACACACAAAGAAAAGCUCACUCUCUCAAGUAUUAAGUAAUCUGAUCAAAGAAAUGAAAACACACAAGGGUGAAGGAUCUUACAGGGAGAACAUGUCUCAAUCCAAGACUAGGGUUCCAAUCUUUCUUAAGCGUGUUAACGCAAAUCAAGAAAAACUUGGUGUGCACAUAUUUACAUUUCAUAUAUUAUUGUGAAACUUGUCUUGUCUGUGUUUGCUAAUAUAAGAGAAAAUCAUAAUAUAUAUUUUUACGAAAGAUUGGAAUGACCAUAAGAAUAUAUUAUAAUAAAUAUAUUGGACAUUAUUUUCUUGAUAUAUUACAAAAGUAAUAGUUAAUUAAAAAAACACAUUAAACUACCAUAAUAAAUGUAUCGAUUUCUGUAAUUUUCAAUUUUCAAUAACAUUUAACCAAUAAUAAUUUAAUAAAGUCAAUUAAUUUUCUUGAAGUUUACAAUUUUUUUAUAGAAAACUAAAAAAAUACAUCUUUUUGAAACGAACGUUUUUCCUAGAAAGUCUAUUAUUAAGGAACGGAGGGAGUAGUUGUUAUCUAGCCAUGAAGGCAUUUAAUGUAAACACACAAAUUUACAAAACAAUUAAUAUAAAUAACUGAAUAAAGUAAAUAUAUUUAGCUGAAUUAUUCAGACUAAGAUUAUUCAAAACAUUUAGUCCAUAAUAACAAUUUUAAUUUAUAUAUAUUACAUUUUGAAAAAUCUGUUUCAAUAUACAAAUUAUAUCUUGACAAGGCAAUCUGAAAGAAAAUAAAACUUUCACACUAAUAUUCAUAUGCUUAGGUAAAUGAAUCAUGCACUUUUAUAUUAUUUUGACUAUAAUCUGAGAAAAUCAUUGAAAGAUUUUCUUUACAAAAAUAUAACUAAUGCAAGUUUAUGUUUAUAUGUAGAUUGAUAUGCUUAGGUAAAUGAAUCAUGCACUUUUAUAUUAUUUUAACUAUAAUCUCAGAAAAUUAAUUUAAAGAUUUUCUUUACAAAAAAUAUAACUAAUGCAAGUUUAUGUUUAUAUUCUUAGGUAAAUGAAUCAUGCACUUUUAUAUUGUUUUGACUAUAAUCUCAAAAAAUGAAUUAAAAAGUUUUUUUAUUUAUGUGAAAAUGUUAUAAAUAUCAUUUAAACGUAUAUAUAUAUAUAUAUAUAUAUAUCAAUCUAAAAUAUAAUAGAACUCUCAAACAAUUUAUAAAACAUCCUACAAAAUGAGUAUCUCCGAAAAAUGUAUAUUAAUCGCAUUUGUUUUCACUCUUUUCUUCGCGAUGUCAAUUGUUAGCUGCACCGAUAUUGUUUCAGGUACUACAUUAAAAUUUAAUUUUUAGUUAUGCUAAAGUCUUCAUUCCUGCAUAAUUUUAAUAUUUUAUUAUUUCUUACUAUUCGAAUAGAUUUCGGAGUAAAGAAAGCAUAUAAUCUAUGCUAUGGUCCAUGUGACGACAAAGGAGUGUGUGAGCCGUUUUGUUAUACCAAAAAGGGUCCGAUAAGGGGAGACUGUGUUGGUGGCACUUGUUGUUGUGCUGAACAUUAAAUAAAAUAUUAAAUAAUAUCAUUAGAUAUUAUAUCUUGUAUGAAAUGAAAUAAUACUACCAAUAAUACAUAAAAUGCUUUUACAAAAAAAAUAUAUAAAAUGUUAUUAAAUUGAAGUUACUUUGAUUAACCUCGAGAAAACAUUAGUCAAAGUUGCAUGUCUUUUCUAAAAAAACAUUAAUAAAAUAAUAGUAUAUAUUAAUAAUGUAAACAUCCAGCAUGACAUAGAACUUUAAAAUAUGGAAGGGAAAACACGUGAAGAACAAUUAACGUUACAUAUAUAUCUCAUGCAACAAUAAAUGAAGUGAAAAAGCAAACUAAUAAAAAAUCGGUAAAUGUAAUUAAGUGAAAAGUAAAAAUAUUCAUUUAAAAAUAAAAUAUUAAUUUUUCAUUUUUACAUAUAUUCAUUUAAAAAAAGGAAACUAAUAAGUAAAUGUAAAUGUAACUAAGUGAAAAAUAAAAAUAUUCAUUUAAAAAUAAAAUAUUAUUUUUUCCUUUGCAUAUAUAUAUUCAUUUUUUUCUUUUACCAAAAUAAAUAUUCAUUUUUUAAACAUAUAAAUAAAUCCUAUGAACGGAGACGUCUCAUAAACCCUACAUAGUAGAAGCUCUGCAGAUGCAUUCAGUCCAUGUUGUCAUUCAGCUUCUAUUGGGCCGAAUUUCUGUCACCAUUCUUAUAUACUCUAUUCUUCAUUUUGAUAUCUUUUUUUUUUUUGAAACUAUUCAUUUUGAUAUCUUUUGAGUCAACAUAAUAAAUCACGAGAAUAAACCUCUCUAACACGAGAUUCCACUUCGACAAUACAUAUCUCCACAACCUUAAGCAAAAGAACAACAUAGUACAUAUGUUAAAUUCACAUUUGGGUAAGAAAUUGAUAGGUUUCGCCGAUGGAUCAUGUCUUCAUCGUUAAUCUAGCUGUUGCGACUAGGCAUUUACUUGGAUGAAUUUAUGUGAUAAAUCAUGUUCCAAGUAGUUAAAAACUUUUUAUUCUUAUUUCAGGUAUUAAAAUUGAAAUUUGUUAUAAGUUCAGGUAUCGGUCGCAUCAUUUGUUUCGUUUAAACUAAAAUUAUUCAGUUACGAACUGUUUCAUGUCACCAUUUUACGGACAUGAUGACGGUUGUAUGUAUUUAAAAGUCUUUUAUUCUAAGUUGAUGUAUUAAAUUUAAAUUCGUUAUUAGUCUAAAUAUCAGAUCACACAAUCAAAUAGUUUAUAUAUUGAUUAGGCGAUAUGGCCUAGUUCGUGCACUAGCUCGCCAUUUUGCCUAGUUUCAUGUCUUGAUUGAAUUAUUACAACUAUUCUUAUGGAUUUGAGUGAGUAGAUCUAGAGAAACAUGAUGUAAAUAAAGUUUAUUAAGGUUUAAUGAUAUUAUAGGUGUUGAUAAUCAAUGGACAUAUAUACGUGAGAGAGAUUUCAUGAAGUCGAAAGAAAAUAAAAAAUUGUAAGAUGACAAGAAUAAUAUAUAUAAGUUUACAGAAAAAAAGAAUGAUAUAUAUAUAUAUAUAUAUAUAUGUGGAAGGAAAAACACAUGAAGAACAUGCAAAAUUAACGUUACAUAUAUAUGUCUCAUGCAAAAAUAAAUGAAGUGAAAAAAGAAAACUAAUAAGUGAAUGUAAAUGUAAUUAAGUGAAAAUAUUCAUUUUUUCUAGACAUAUAAAUAAACCGUACGACGGAGACGUCUCAUAAACAUAGUAGAAUAGGAGGCGGAUGAAGCAUUAGCUUCACGGCCAAUUACAAUAAAUAUUAUUUUGGGGCAAAAUUAUGUGAAAGGUGUCAUUGGUUCAGUGGUUGAGUAUGCUGCUCUAAACUGAUCACGUCACCAGUUUGAGAUAGUUUAGCACUGUUUUUAUCAGUUAUUUUAGGUUAAAUAUUUUAUACUAAAACAAAGGGGAAAUCACAUUUUAAACAUUGAGAGUGUCAUUUUCUAACACUUUAAACACUGAAGUUAUUUUACAAGCAUUUUAAACCUUUAAAGUGACAUUUUUAUCAUAAUAAACCUUCAAAGACGUUUUCCUGUUCAUAGACGACCAGUACUGUUUAUUUUACCAGUAUAUAGAAAAUAAAGUUUGGAACCUUUGUUGUCUCCGUUUCUCUAGAGAAUAGCGAUUUUAUAGUGGUUAGUUAUAUAGAGCAUUUACCGAUUUUAUAUUCGUAGGGGUUAAUACAUAGAUUUUGAGAAGAAAAAUCAAAAAUAUGAUAAUACUAUUUUAAUGCAUAGUUGGAUCAUGCACUAACAUAUGAUGAAUGUCAAAGAGUUUUGGAACCUUUAUUGUCUCCGUUUCUCUAGAGAAUAGCGAUUUUAUAGUGGAUACUCCACUAAUUUUGGGUGUAUUGUGAAAAUAAGGUUUGCAUCAUGCGAAAAUAAGGUUUGGAACCUUUGUUUAGAAAUUUUAAAACAACACUAAAGAUCAUAGGCUUCAGUGUAUAAAGCAUUUAUCGAAAAACUCAAUAUUUUCGUAGGAGUUAACACAUAGAUUUUGAAAAAAAAAUCAAAAAUAUGACAAUACUGUUUUAAUGCAUGGUUGCAUCAUGCACUAACAUAUGAUGAAGUUCAAAGAGGUUUGAGAUCUUUGUUAUCUCCGUUUCUCUAGAGAAUAACGAUUUUAUAGUGGUUAGUCCACUAAUUUAGGGAGUAUUGUGAAGUUUUACUAAAUUAAUUGAUAAAAAUUAAAAUGAUGUCCAUGUACCAUGAAAUAUAGUUUAAUAUACAUUAAUACAAAUGUAGAAUGUGUUGAAGAAUCGGCUCCAAAAAAGGCAAGUGGAGAUGUUGAAGAAUCUGGCUGAUCCAGUGAGGUUUAGUGCAUGGUAUCAACACUCCAAAUGGUCUUAGAUGUAAUGAAUGUCUCCUGGUUUCCUCACGUGAGUUUGAGUUGCACACUCCUUAAGCAAAGAAUUACUUUCCUUAAAUGGAACCAGUUCGGAUGCAAUGUAGAUAGUCUGACUUGUAAAUGGCAUAUCUCCUAAACCAUUACUCCUUUUGGUAUAAAACCAAUUCGCCGUGUGCUCUUGUUGAGUGUAGAAUCCAGGAAAACCGGUUUCAUUGAUAAAUUCCUCCUGGUUUAUAAGAUAUAGCGUUUUGAUUGCACAUAUGUCCUGGUUGGCUUCUUAGCUUUCCUCAGCUUCAUGUUCUUCACUGAUUUACUCCUGGUUCCUUUCUCCUUUUCUGAUGAUGACUUGAGGUCCUCAUCAAUUUAAUAUACAAUUAGUUGAGUAAGUUUGAUGGCCACACAGGUUAUGAUGUUUGAUGAAAGAGGAGAUUAGUAGAAGUGGCUGCAUAUAAUAUAUGGAUUUGUUUUCUAUUUUUAGAAAUUUCUAAGUGUCACUCCAACUUUGAUAGGAAAAGAGUUGAGCAAAAAGGGGGCAGAGUCAUGAUGACAUGACAGAAGAAUCCAAACAUUAUGAGAUGGAGAUAAGAUAAAUGACACUAAUUGAGAAGUAUCAUCAUAGUCUCUUCAAGCUCUUCUUUCUGGCAUCUACCUUCUUCUUGUCUGCCUGAACCUUGGCCAAACCGGCUUCUCUUUUCUGUGUCGUAGUGGCCACACUUGCAGAUCCUGCUGCUGCUGCUACAGGCACGUUAGCAAUUUGUUCAGUCGCUGUUAUUACUCUAUUGAUGUCUGCCACUGAAGAGGGUAUUGCAGCAGGCGUCUCGUUGUUGGGCUGGCCAACAUUUAGAGCCGUUGUUGACUCUGAGAUAGCUCCUGUUUUGAACUUAGGUUUUGGUUUAGCAUGGAUACCCGUGUAAAGCCUGCACAAAAGUCCAGAAGAUUUCGACUUAAAAACAGAAUGCUCAAAAGAGAUUUUGACAGAAUAUGAGACUCAAAGUAGAUGGACUCACCGAGCAUGCCUAGCGUACUCUUCAUAGUUCUCAAGUAGCAUCUUUCCAGCCUGUUCGUUUAAUG
rnacentral:lncRNA from 1 species